rnacentral:rRNA from 1 species
UUCCAAUCGAGCCCGGAGAUAGCUGGUUCUCCCCGAAAUAGCUUUAGGGCUAGCCUCAAGGUGAGAGAUACGGAGGUAGAGCACUGAAUGUCCUAGGGGGGAUUGCACCUACCGAAGACUAUCAAACUCCGAAUGCCGUCAUCUUAUACUUGGGAGUCAGACUGUGGGGGAUAAGAUUCAUAGUCGAAAGGGCAACAGCCCAGAUCGUCAGCUAAGGUCCCUAAAUGUAAGUUAAGUGGUAAAGGAUGUGGGAUUGC